rnacentral:lncRNA from 13 species
GCAACAGAAACAACCAGAAAAUGGAUGAGUAGAAGAGAAACGAUUCUAAUUAUAGGAACUUUUUAGGAGAGUCUCACUCUGUCACCCAGGCUGGAGUGCAAUGGCGUGACCUCAGCUCACUGCAACCUCCACCUCCCGGGUUCAAGCAAUUCUCCUGCCUCAGCCUCCCAAGUAGCUGGGACUACAGAAUGCCUGCCUGUGUGUGAGCUGCACCAUGGUGCUGAGCUAGGGCGAGAAGUGUGGCCACUGGCUGGAAACGGGAAGAGUGAGAUGCUGCCACCAGGCUUCCAUGUGGUGUGUGUCCCUGGGGUGCAGAACUGAGGUGAGAAGGCUGCUGUCCCCCACGCUGAUCCCGCCCUACCAGGUCUGGAUGGAGCCUGUGCAUUUGCCAUUGCAAUGUGCAAUUUUAUUAAAUGUUUAAAAAAAUAAAGAGACUGGGCCCAGGCUGGGGUGCAAUCACAGCUCACUGCAGCCUCGAUCUCCUGGGCCCGAGCAGUCUUCCCGCCUCGGUUUCUCAAAUAGCUGGAACCACAGUUAUGAGCCACCAUGCCCAGGUUGAACGAGACAUCUACGUUGGCGGUCUCAAGGACUCCCGCAGGUCGGCAGCCCCUCGGCAGACGUGCCGGACCCCAACAGAGGAGGACUUCUUGAACCCAGAAGUUCAAGGCUGCAGUCAUAAGACUCUCAUUCCAAAGAGGGUCCUGUCUUAUACCCAAGAGGAAGGACUGCAGCGCAGAGAGGCCAAGCAGAAUCUAGACACGCGGGCCUGCUGGGCGUCGCCACCCAGUGGAUCAGCAGAUCUCGCCGGAUCCUGUUUCUCCACAGCAGUCCAUAUUUGCUGAACCUAAGCAUUAAACUGACAGCUUCCUCUGUGUUCAUUCUGAAGACUCUUGUGUCACAUAAAGCUAUGAUGAAAUAAAUUUGUAUGCUUUCUCUCUUUUAAUCUGCCU